rnacentral:rRNA from 1 species
CCUAACCUAGCGGCGGACGGGUGAGUAAUGCUUAGGAAUCUGCCUAUUAGUGGGGGACAACAUUCCGAAAGGAAUGCUAAUACCGCAUACGUCCUACGGGAGAAAGCAGGGGACCUUCGGGCCUUGCGCUAAUAGAUGAGCCUAAGUCGGAUUAGCUAGUUGGUGGGGUAAAGGCCUACCAAGGCGACGAUCUGUAGCGGGUCUGAGAGGAUGAUCCGCCACACUGGGACUGAGACACGGCCCAGACUCCUACGGGAGGCAGCAGUGGGGAAUAUUGGACAAUGGGGGGAACCCUGAUCCAGCCAUGCCGCGUGUGUGAAGAAGGCCUUUUGGUUGUAAAGCACUUUAAGCGAGGAGGAGGCUACUAGUAUUAAUACUACUGGAUAGUGGACGUUACUCGCAGAAUAAGCACCGGCUAACUCUGUGCCAGCAGCCGCGGUAAUACGUAGGGUGCAAGCGUUAAUCGGAAUUACUGGGCGUAAAGCGUGCGCAGGCGGUUUUGUAAGUCUGACGUGAAAUCCCCGGGCUCAACCUGGGA